rnacentral:misc_RNA from 1 species
GAUGAAGAACGCAGCGAAAUGCGAUAAGUAAUGUGAAUUGCAGAAUUCAGUGAAUCAUCGAAUCUUUGAACGCACAUUGCGCCCCUUGGUAUUCCGAGGGGCAUGCCUGUUCGAGCGUCAUUAUAACCCUCAAGCUCAGCUUGGUGUUGGGGCCUGCUGCACUGGCAGCCCUUAAAAUCAGUGGCGGCGCCAUCUGGCUCUAAGCGUAGUAAUUCUUCUCGCUAUGGAGUCCUGGUGGAUGCUUGCCAUCAACCCCCAAUUUUUCUAUGGUUGACCUCGGAUCAGGUAGGGAUACCCGCUGAACUUAAGCAUAUCAAUAAGCGGAGA